AACCCUGGACUUAGUGGGGGAAUAUUCAAACCACAGCACCAGUGGAACAGUGAUUUCAACAGAGUUGGUGAGAUUAGGGCAGGGAUGGCAAAACAAGGCCCUUUGCACACAUGCACGAUCUUUAAGUCAUGGAUUGGGAGACCUGAUGGAAAGGAAGAGUUAGAAGUUGGAAAAGCCAGGUCACAAAGCAUGAAGAACUGAGAAUCCAUGCAGGUGCAGGAAGCCUCCAGCAAUUUUACUAGACCAUCCAGGAGGCUACUGGCGAGGUCCAGGAUCUGCUGUUUCAAGUGUCUGCCUCAGCGAAGUCAUGCUUCCUUUUGGGGUAUUCUACUCGGUUGCUGGUUGCCAUGGAAGUGAGGGCUGGCUGAUUCACACAGGAGGGGGGGCAGGGCCCACUAGCCAGCCCUCAAGCACACUGGAUGAUUUCAAUGACCUAAAUCUCUGCAGCUUCUCAGAAGACAUCUACAUGUUUUUUUGAUGACGUUUGCAUACCUUUGACUUUGAUUUAGAAAUCGAGAUGCAUUUUUACAAAUCUGUGACCUGUAUGAAAGCAGUCUAUUGAUAAAGUACCAAGAAUAAAUAGAACUUUGAA
rnacentral:lncRNA from 1 species